rnacentral:rRNA from 1 species
AAGUCGAGCGAAUGGGAUUAAGAGCUUGCUCUUAUGAAGUUAGCGGCGGACGGGUGAGUAACACGUGGGUAACCUGCCCAUAAGACUGGGAUAACUCCGGGAAACCGGGGCUAAUACCGGAUAACAUUUUGAACCGCAUGGUUCGAAAUUGAAAGGCGGCUUCGGCUGUCACUUAUGGAUGGACCCGCGUCGCAUUAGCUAGUUGGUGAGGUAACGGCUCACCAAGGCAACGAUGCGUAGCCGACCUGAGAGGGUGAUCGGCCACACUGGGACUGAGACACGGCCCAGACUCCUACGGGAGGCAGCAGUAGGGAAUCUUCCGCAAUGGACGAAAGUCUGACGGAGCAACGCCGCGUGAGUGAUGAAGGCUUUCGGGUCGUAAAACUCUGUUGUUAGGGAAGAACAAGUGCUAGUUGAAUAAGCUGGCACCUUGACGGUACCUAACCAGAAAGCCACGGCUAACUACGUGCCAGCAGCCGCGGUAAUACGUAGGUGGCAAGCGUUAUCCGGAAUUAUUGGGCGUAAAGCGCGCGCAGGUGGUUUCUUAAGUCUGAUGUGAAAGCCCACGGCUCAACCGUGGAGGGUCAUUGGAAACUGGGAGACUUGAGUGCAGAAGAGGAAAGUGGAAUUCCAUGUGUAGCGGUGAAAUGCGUAGAGAUAUGGAGGAACACCAGUGGCGAAUGCGACUUUCUGGUCUGUAACUGACACUGAGGCGCGAAAGCGUGGGGAUCAAACGCGAUUAGAUACCCUGUAAGCCACGCCGA